GGCGGUUCUUGGGUGAUGCACCCUGGAAUCCGGCUCUCUCCUCUCUGGUUCUGGGUGUGUCACCCAAGAAGCU
rfam:Myotis brandtii contig208326, whole genome shotgun sequence.